UUUAGGCUCUUUGGUAUCAUUUCUUCAGCUCAGAUACCUUAUUCCCAUACUGUGCGCAGCUCUAGAAGUUACUCUUAGUUAUAGAGACCGUCACUUCAAGCUGCAGUCAAAGUAAUUGGCGUCAAGUUUGAGAUUGGUCGGAAGCUAGACCAGGUGGGCCCUCAGAACAUCCUAUGGACAUUAAAACCAAUUGUCAAAUAUGCAGUAUUCCCUUUUCUUAGUGGCUGAAUUCUCAGUGAUUGGGUUCUUAGCGUCAUGUAGAAUCUGUACCAUUUAUUUUCAGGCUACUUGACAAAAAUGGAUUACUUAUUUUGUCCUCUAAACUGUAAGGGUAGGGUGAACUUCUCUAGGUCUUGCCAGACAGUGAGCCCACUAGGGUCCCACUGACAGUCUUAACCUGUAUUUAUUUGUUUUCAGCCUUAGCUGCUUCUGUCUUCUGUGAUGCAUUUCUCCUCUGUGGCUCAGAUGUAUUCACAAGUUAGUCUAGGUAACCACACUGGAUCCUUUCAUCCUUCCCCUAAUCUCUGAUGAAGGUGAGAGGGGUUUUGGAGCACACAUAGCUUUGGACAGAUGAGGUUGCUUCUUCCACUGGGUGCUCCUCUUCUGCCAGCACCACAUCUGCAGAGCCGCAGGACAUCCUUCCGCCCCUUCUGAUGAGCCUGCACGCUGCCAAAGUUGUUUCACAACCCAGCCUUAAUAAUCAAAGCCAUGUUGUGUUCUGUGCUUCAUACAGGAGAAGCCCCCUGCCUUCUAGGCUGCUUUGUGAGAGCAACGUCAAGGCAUGAUGUCACCCACCCUCUCAAGGGUUCAUCUAUAAGCCCAUGGGAGACUUGGUCGGGUUUGUAGACCCACCAUGGGCCUAGGGACAUUCCCUCUGAUGGCGAAGGCUUUGUCGAAACUGUUCUCCGAAAAAAUUAUUGCUAAUUCUCUCUUCCCUUAAACAAGCAGUUCCUUAGGCUACAAAACUUCUGGCAGGGCUUCCCCAGCAGGAAGACAUGUGCUCACCACAUCGGGCAUAGCUCAAACAUCUACAACUCUGUUCUACCCGCAGAAGGAGGGAGGCAGUGGUACAGAGCUCCGCAGGCUUUGGCCUUAGAAACGCUGUUCCCAACAAGCUUGGGUCUCACUUUGAUCAUUUAGAACUUAUUUACCUUGUUACACAUGUUAUGUGUUACAUGUGUAACAUUUACACUUGUUAUGUGUUACAUGUGUAACAUUUACACUUGUUAUUUACCUGGUUAUACAUGUUAUGCAGUCUCUCUGAACCACAAUUUCAUCUGUCAAAUGCAUAUAUAAGUAAUGAUAAUAACUACUAUUUAUUGAGCAUCAUUCACAUACAGGUUCCAGUUGUAAAAUUGUUUUUAAGCCUCAAAGCAACCCUAUAAAGGAGAUAAUAUUGCCCUCAUUUGGCAGAUGAGAAAAUUAAAGGUUAGAGAAAUUAAAUAAUUGACCCAAGGACACUUAUUUUGCAAUGAACUGUAAAUCAGUCCCAAAUCUGUUUGGCUCCAAACCCUUUAUGUUCUUCACUACUUCUGUAUAUUUUUCAUGGGAUUAAAAUAAGAUCAUGUAUGUUAAGUUCUUGGCACUCAGUAAAUGCUCAAUUAAUAUUUUUUUCCCCCGAAAGGUAACACUUGUUAGUUUUGUAAUGGCUAUUGUUUUCUGGUUUUGUUUUGUUUGUUUAGUUUCUAUGGUGGCAUUACCAUGGUAGAAGAGAAGAAGCAAAAAGAGUAGAAAUGAGAUAAAUAGUAAACUUAGUCUAGGAAAAUGCUUACCCUUGUUUAUGUGUUGGUGGGGGCAGGGGAAUAAAGAAAGAGAGAAAAUGUUUUAAAGUGGAUAUUGCACAGUUUCUUUGCAUGGCAGGUUGCUUAUGAUCUGGAUAAGUAGAAACAACUUAGGAAAGGAACCCCAUAUUCAACUGCAUUUGUUCAAAAGGCAUGGAAGAGUGGAUAGAUGUCUGUUAAAUGAAGACAUAUGGGCAUUUUGAAGGUCACUUACAUGGAGGAUCAUUUUCAGUGUAUGAGUAAUGUUGGCAGUGUGUUUCCACCCAGGAAGAAUAAAGGUAAUCUUGGAUGGUGACUAUAAAUUACAUGUGGACUGUUCCAUGAGGGCUGCUCCAACACCAAGUGAGUGUCAAACUUUGAAGUCUCUGGGUUAGCAACAUGUAUAUGCAUUCUGCAAAGAGCUGCAAAGGUGAGCUACAAAUCUGCAUUAAUUCAGGAGAGGAUAUGGGAAGACUAUUUUGCUCAAAUAUAGAAGAUCAGCUUGGUUAAAGUGUAAAUACAGUUACUAUCACUAAUAAUGUCUAAGUAUAAAAUUUGUAGCAAGAAAAGAAAUAAAAAGACAAUGAGAAGUACCUGGUAUAGGAGGGCAUACUAGAGGAAGUGGUUAAGACCUAGCUUAAUUAAUAGUCUUCCUAGGAUAAAAUUUCCCAAGACAGCAUCUGAAGGUGCCAGUGAUAUUUAAUGAUUAAUUUAGAUAUUUUCAGGCCCAAUGUCUUGGUGUGGUGGGUUUACAGGAUGGAUCACAUUAAAUAAAAAAUGGUGCUAAAAUUUCAUAUGAAUCAACAGUAAGUCAACAUUGAAGACUAAAACCAAUGCUAUAUUUGUAAAGGGAAGAAAAAGAGCAGAGUCAACAUACUGAUUUUUCAUUAUUUCCUAAACUUGGUUAUGCACUUCUUUUAUACAUUAUGUACAAAAUGAUUGCAUAUAGAACUACGUGCCGCUGAUGGCUGCCUGGUUUAAUAAACUGUGAUUAUUGUUUUUCUCUCUACAUUUCAAGCUACCAUAUGUACUGAAUUUCUGGGAUAUAUCAGUCUCAAAGCUAAACCUAAUAGGAUAUACUGACUUUCCAUGCCACACAAGGCUUCGUGAGCCAUGGGAAGUAGCUUUGGAGUAUCACGGUUCUAGAAAGAGGAUCGUCAAAGACAGACACUCAGGGAAAAAAAAAGUGUUUUAUUGUCUUAAUGAUUUAAAAGUCCAAGUCUUAAAUCACUACCCAUAAUUGAGGCCUCUUAUUAUUUUGAGUCAGUCAUCAAUAGAAAAAAAACCUUUCUUGCUUUGAUCUUUGAAGAAUAAAAUAAAAGAUGCUAGACUAAAACCUAAUCAGAAAUUACUGAUGGCAAAACUAACUAGUUGGAAUAGGCUGUUGGCAGAAGUCGCUCCCUCCCACUUUUCUUCUUUUCCUUUGGUGUUAUGAUUUAAGGGGAAAAAUUAUGGAAGACAAGUUUGUUUUAAAAAUUCAUAGGGUUCACUUGUGGGUUUUGCAUUUAAAUAUAUAUUUUAAAUAAUAUUUAGGAAGCAUUUGAGAAUGAGGAUUUUAGGCUAUGCUGAUGCUACUGCUUCUGUUACUAAACAUUACUUAAUGCUUCCUGGUUUUCAGAAGAUAUAGCCAAGACUAGUUCCUUUUCUUAUCCACAUUCAGCCCUUUCCCUUAGAAAGAUAAGUUCUGAAAGAAGUACUUACCUGUUGGGCAGUAGAAUAAGUAGAAAAAUGGAAAACCCAAAUGUGUGUCUGCGAUGCUGGGUCUGACCUUUAUGCUUUUAAAUAAUUCUUACCGGAGGCGAAUUCUGUGUGGUUGCCGGCUUGCACAGCAGCUUCAGAGGCAGGUCCAUGAAAGACGAGCGAAUUUUGAGGGUAUUGAGUGCCUUGCUACAUUCACACUGUAUGUGCCGUUCAGCAUUACUAUUAAAGGGAAAAUCAGAAGAUGUUGGUUUUUAAGGAGGGUAUUGGUAUUUAAGGUUAUUUGCUGUAGGAAUUACCUUCUAUAGAGUUCGAACUCUGCUCUGAAAAGUCUGAGAGAAAUAGAAGAAACAGUUCAUAGGAAAUUUUGAAGUUUGGCUAGCCUGUAAACCACAGGCUUAACAGUGCUCUAAAGUCAGUUCUGAGACUUUUUCUGAGACUCUGUAACUCUUGAUGUAUAAUUAUGAAUGCAUUUUUGCUUUGUUGAUUGUUGCAAUAAACAGAAUCAGUGGAUUAUUGGUUAAGUAGAAUAAAAAUAUGCCAGAGAAAAUCCAUUCUCUUUGUCUCACUCUGAAAAUAUUGCAUCAAAUAAUCUGAACGAGACCAAAAAAGCUUUUUAUCUGAGUUUCUAUACGUAAGAGUAGAAAAAACAAUUGAAGGGAAAUAGUUAAAUGUAGAAAAUCAUCAAAAAUAGAAAUCGUGCAAAAAGUAGACAUCUCGAUUCUUAAAAAUUAUGUUUCCCAAGCUGUGCAAACUUUCCUCAGUUAACCACAUACUCACAUGGAUGAAGAUUUCACAAUUCCAGUAAAAGCAUUCUUACAUUCACCUUGAAUGGUUUUGUCCCUUGAAGAAUUAGCAUCAGUCAUUGGAAAGCAAUGGUAUGUUUUUCUUCUUACACUUAGCAGGAAGCAUUUUAGAAGCCAUAUCCUCACCAAGAAUGUACAGAUGGACCAUUGCAUUAUAAAAACAUACAAAUAUAGUUAGAAAACAAAAACAGAGAUAAUGCACCACAAGUAUACAGCGAUUUUCUCUUACGAAUGUUCUUUUUUUCUUUCUCUCAUUCUACUUUUCCUGGGAUUUAGUACGUUCUUACAGUGGGUAAGUUUUAUUUUUACAGUCAGGAAGAAAGGCCACAUUCUGUAGCCGUAAAACGUGUGUCUGUGAGUAAUUGGAAAUUAACCCUGUCCUUCAAACUUGAUGCCGUCAUCACGUAUAUGAUCCAUGUGUGUGUGUGGGUUGGCACAUAUGUACAUAUUUCACAGAUUACCCCAUUCAAAGAUGGGAAGGUGGAAGGGUCUGUCCUCAAUAAGUACUGUGGUUUGCCUGGCUGACAUGCAGGGAAACCCCCAAAGCACCAGAACCAUGCAUUUAUUCAGCCGAAAAAAUGUGUUUUCUUUUUUAAAUCAGAGUCUCCUAAGAUAGUAGAACCUAGAUGGCUCUCCAGUGCUGGGCUGAAUGAUAAAACCCAGACCUUUUUGGUGCUGUGUUUUGAUCCAUCCCUGAAUGUGACACCCUAAUACUUGGGUUCCUGGGUCUGGUUUUACAGGAUGUGACUUCAGUCAAGGAAAGCCUGGUGCCUACCUUUGCUUAUUUGUAUUCUAGUGCUGUAAGCUCCCCUCCUCUCGUGUGUCUUUGUUCUAUUAAUCUGCAAAACAGGGCUCGACUUGUGAUUAGUCCUUGGAGCUUGUUUCUAUUAAUCAGUCUGCAAAACAGGUCGACUUGGAUGCUUUUGUUCAAGAGCUUAAUGCGUUCUCCUUGUCAGGCUGUGGUUCAGGCCGCUCGGUUUGCUUUAAACGGGACCAGGUGGUGAAAUUUGGUUUUUAUACGCUGAUUGCACUGUCAAGAAAGAAAAUACUGUUUGAAAAGACAAUAGGAAAAUGCUAAUGUGGAAUCGUAGAGCGAUGUUUUAGGAGGAGGAAAAGUUUAUAGAAAAUAUAACUUGUGUAACCUGGCUGUGGUGUAUAAUAAACUGCACGGUGCAGUUGACUGGAACAGAAAAUAAGGCAUUAUUUAUAUUAUAGUCUAGAAGCAUGGUGUCAAGGAAAGGUCGCCUAUUAAUAAAAUUUUAUGUGGAUUUGAAUUGUAAUUCUUUUGAUUCUUAAAGUGGGAAUAUCAUCCUUUUAGCUACAGUAUUAGCUACUGUAAGAAGAUCCAAUAUAAUUUUGUGCGUUUCCUCACUUUUUUCUUUCCACCCUCCCUUAUGCCAAACGACCUUGCCGCAGAUUAAAAUUAUUCUACCUGUUAUGUAGGGAAAACUCUGUAUCUCAAUUUUCUUAUCUUCAUUAACAAGGGACAAAAACUGACCUACCUGUGGAGAUAGAGUGUGGGCUGAGUGAUGGUUAUAAAUUGCUUUGUAAAAUGCUCAUUAUCACCAUUUAAAAAAUUCUUCUAACUCUAAUGUGCAAAGGAUAGCCUCACUGGAAAAGAAUUUUAAUGCAUAACUUUUUUCUAGUGAUAGGGACACUCUAGGAAGAACACAGUUUUUUAUUGGAAGUUGUCUUUUACAUCUCUAAAAAUUUCAAGUAAAUUUAGCAUUCAUUACUUGUGAAAUAGCUGCCCCCUCCAAAAAAUCUGUUGAAGUAUAUGCAAGGAGCAAACUUUCAGAACUCCAAAUUAAAUUUGUCAUCAGUGAUAAAUUUAGUCCUGUGAGAUAGUUUAAUAAGUGCUUCAGCUUGAUUUAUUGGCUUUGUUAGUUAACAAGAGUGUAUUAUGUCUUGUACAGAACUUAGCAGAGCAAUUUCUGACUAGACCUUCCUUGAUUAAAAUAAAAAACUGAAAGUCUCAUUUUAGUCACGGCGAUGGUAAUUAUUUUAACAUGAAAUUGGAAGGUAAGCACACUGCAGUCCUGUCAUUAAUAUUUAAAAAAAAAAAAGACAAGAAAGCAAGAAAGAAAAGAAAAUGU